GACGAACCAUGCAAACGUUAUUCGGAUUCACUGGGCUUAAAGCGUGCGUAGGCGGUCUUGUUAGUCAGGUGUGAAAGCCCUCAGCCCAACUGAGGAAUUGCGCUUGAUACUGCAUGACUUGAGAGAGAUAGAGGUGGGUGGAACUGAUGGUGGAGCGGUGAAAUGCGUUGAUAUCGCUUGGAACGCCAAAGGUGAAGACAGGUUGCUGGAGAUAUGCCGACACUGAGACGCGAAAGCCAGGGGAGCAAACGGG
rnacentral:rRNA from 1 species